GACGAACGCUGGCGGCGUGCCUAAUACAUGCAAGUCGAGCGAACACAAGAGGAGCUUGCUCCUCUUGGUUAGCGGCGGACGGGUGAGUAACACGUGGGCAACCUGCCUGUAAGACUGGGAUAACUUCGGGAAACCGGAGCUAAUACCGGAUAAUCCUUUUCCUCUCAUGAGGAAAAGCUGAAAGUCGGUUUUUCGCUGACACUUACAGAUGGGCCCGCGGCGCAUUAGCAGUUGGUGAGGUAACGGCUCACCAAGGCAACGAUGCGUAGCCGACCUGAGAGGGUGAUCGGCCACACUGGGACUGAGACACGGCCCAGACUCCUACGGGAGGCAGCAGCAGGGAAUCUUCCGCAAUGGACGAAAGUCUGACGGAGCAACGCCGCGUGAGCGAUGAAGGCC
rnacentral:rRNA from 1 species